UGUCGCUGGCCUUCAAAGGUCGUGCACGCCCGGGCCCUCUCACAAUCCAUCUCACCCUUUGUGCAUCACCGCGUGGGUCCCCUUUGCGGGAGGGCUCACGUUUUAACAUAAAAACUCGAUACAGUGUAGAAUGUUUAUUUUUGCGGUCACACGCGAUCAAUACAACUUUCAACAACGGAUCUCUUGGCUCUCGCAUCGAUGAAGAACGCAGCGAAAUGCGAUACGUAAUGUGAAUUGCAGAAUUCAGUGAAUCAUCGAAUCUUUGAACGCACCUUGCGCCCCUUGGCAUUCCGAGGGGCACACCCGUUUGAGUGUCGUGAAAUCCUCAAAACCCCUCUUCUUUGGGAGUUUUGGAAUUGGAGGUUUAAUGCUCGCUUUUGCCUUUGAAAGUGAGCUCCUCUCAAAUGAAUCAGUGGGGUCUGCUUUGCUGGUCCUUGACGUGAUAAGAUGUUUCUACGUCUUGGAUUUGGCAUCGUCCCUGCUCCUAAUCGUCUCAUGGACAAUGAUGGUGCUUCCGGUCACCGCCAUCCACAUCGGCGGGAGGCUGGACCCACAAAAAGAAAACCUUGACCUCAAAUCGGGUGAGACUACCCGCUGAACUUAAGCAUAUCA
rnacentral:rRNA from 1 species